CCUACGGGAGUCAGCAGUGAGGAAUAUUGGUCAAUGGACGCACGUCUGAACCAGCCAUGCCGCGUGCAGGAAGACGGCUCUAUGAGUUGUAAACUGCUUUUGUACGAGGGUAAACGCAGAUACGCGUAUCUGUCUGAAAGUAUCGUACGAAUAAGUAUCGGCUAACUCCGUGCCAGCAGCCGCGGUAAUACGGAGGAUUCAAGCGUUAUCCGGAUUUAUUGGGUUUAAAGGGUGCGUAGGCGGUCGGAUAAGUUAGAGGUAAAAUCCCGAGGCUCAACUUCGGAAUUGCCUCUGAUACUGUUCGGAUAGAGAGUAGUUGCGGUAGGCGGAAUGUAUGGUGUAGCGGUGAAAUGCUUAGAGAUCAUACAGAACACCGAUUGCGAAGGCAGCUUACCAAGCUACUUCUGACGUUGAGGCACGAAAGCGUGGGGAGCAAACAGGAUUAGAUACCCUAGUAGUC
rnacentral:rRNA from 1 species